UACGUAGGGUGCGAGCGUUAAUCGGAAUUACUGGGCGUAAAGCGUGCGCAGGCGGCGCCGCAAGUCGAGUGUGAAAUCCCCGGGCUUAACCUGGGAACUGCGCUUGUAACUGGCAAGCUAGAGUGUGGCAGAGGGGGGUGGAAUUCCACGUGUAGCAGUGAAAUGCGUAGAGAUGUGGAGGAACACCGAUGGCGAAGGCAGCCCCCUGGGCUAACACUGACGCUCAUGCACGAAAGCGUGGGGAGCAAACAGG
rnacentral:rRNA from 1 species